rnacentral:rRNA from 1 species
AGACCCGAAACCCGGUGAUCUAGCCAUGGGCAGGUUGAAGGUUGGGUAACACUAACUGGAGGACCGAACCGACUAAUGUUGAAAAAUUAGCGGAUGACCUGUGGCUGGGGGUGAAAGGCCAAUCAAACCGGGAGAUAGCUGGUUCUCCCCGAAAGCUAUUUAGGUAGCGCCUCGUGAAUUCAUCUCCGGGGGUAGAGCACUGUUUCGGCUAGGGGGCCAUCCCGGCUUACCAACCCGAUGCAAACUGCGAAUACCGGAGAAUGUUAUCACGGGAGACACACGGCGGGUGCUAACGUCCGUCGUGAAGAGGGAAACAACCCAGACCGCCAGCUAAGGUCCCAAAGUCAUGGUUAAGUGGGAAACGAUGUGGGAAGGCCCAGACAGCCAGGAUGUUGGCUUAGAAGCAGCCAUCAUUUAAAGAAAGCGUAAUAGCUCACUGGUCGAGUCGGCCUGCGCGGAAGAUGUAACGGGGCUAAACCAUGCACCGAAGCUGCGGCAGCGAACGUAUCACCCAAGACAACUUUACGGAGUUGACGAUUGACGGAGCGAAGCGACGUCAAAGCGUUCAUUAAAGUCGAGUUGGCUUAGGGAUACGUUCGUUGGGUAGGGGAGCGUUCUGUAAGCCUGUGAAGGUGUGUCGUGAGGCAUGCUGGAGGUAUCAGAAGUGCGAAUGCUGACAUAAGUAACGAUAAAGCGGGUGAAAAGCCCGCUCGCCGGAAGACCAAGGGUUCCUGUCCAACGUUAAUCGGGGCAGGGUGAGUCGACCCCUAAGGCGAGGCCGAAAGGCGUAGUCGAUGGGAAACGGGUUAAUAUUCCCGUACUUGGUGUUACUGCGAAGGGGGGACGGAGAAGGCUAUGUUGGCCGGGCGACGGUUGUCCCGGUUUAAGCGUGUAGGUGUGUGUUCCAGGUAAAUCCGGUUCACUUUAACACUGAGGCGUGACGACGAGGCACUACGGUGCUGAAGCAACAAAUGCCCUGCUUCCAGGAAAAGCCUCUAAGCAUCAGGUAACACGAAAUCGUACCCCAAACCGACACAGGUGGUCAGGUAGAGAAUACCAAGGCGCUUGAGAGAACUCGGGUGAAGGAACUAGGCAAAAUGGUGCCGUAACUUCGGGAGAAGGCACGCUGACACGUAGGUGAAGUGAUUUACUCAUGGAGCUGAAGUCAGUCGAAGAUACCAGCUGGCUGCAACUGUU